ACCAGCUCCGAGGGCCAGCGCGCUGCACGUCGCCAUCCGAGCCAGAGUGCAGGGCCCGCGGCCCCCGGGGAAGGG
ensembl:miRNA